rnacentral:rRNA from 1 species
AUUGAACGCUGGCGGCAGGCCUAACACAUGCAAGUCGAGCGAGCGGCGGACGGGUGAGUAAUGUAUGGGGACUGCCCGAUAGAGCGGGAUAACGACUGGAAACGGUGGCUAAUACCGCACACUGUCGGAUAACCCAUAUGGGAUUAGCUCGUGGGUGAGGUAAUGGCUUACCUAGGCGACGAUCCCUAGCUGGUCUGAUAGGAUGUUCAGCCACACUGGGACUGAGACACGGCCCAGACUCCUACGGGGUCAGCAGUGGGGAAUAUUGCACAAUGGGCUGAAGCCUGAUGCAGCCAUGCCGCGUGUAUGAAGAAGGCCCUAGGGUUGUAAAGUACUUUCAGUCGGGAGGCGUUACCGACAGAAGAAGCACCGGCUAACUCCGUGCCAGCAGCCGCGGUAAUAC